GCAAACUUGGUCAUUUAGAGGAAGUAAAAGUCGUAACAAGGUCUCCGUAGGUGAACCUGCGGAGGGAUCAUUACCGAAUGGCCCUCGGGCCUUCAAACCCUUCAACCCUUGUGGAAAGCGAAAACCGUGCUUCGGCGCCUUGGCGCCGGUCCUUAUGCUCAAUCAAGUCUUGUUGAUCUGACGCCAAAAAGAAAAAGAAUCAAAACUUUCAACAAAGGAUCUCUUGGCUCUCGCAUCGAUGAAGAACGCAGC
rnacentral:misc_RNA from 1 species